UUGAACGUGAAUGGUGGAUUGCCACCCGCUCAACACAAUCUAAUGACGUUUUACCCCCGUCUCUAGACCAUAAUCCUUUUCACAUUGCUUUUGUUCUUUAAUUAUGACUAYUGUUCCUGUAUUCUCUAAGGAAUCAAAAAUUUUAAUAUGAAAGAAUUUUAAAAACUAUUAUAGUAUAGAGUCGGGGGUAAAACGUCAUCUCGCUUCAGGCUUAUUUGGCUGUUUUUUAAACAAGAAUCAUUUCUAAUUGAAGAUGUUAUUCUCACCAAGGAUAGCACUGAGUACUAUUAUUGUUGGAGUACAGUACGAAUCAGGAGUUAGUUGGUAUCAAAGAUCUAGCCAAUAGGGAUAGAGUUGUUUUCGAAGUCCCUGACGAACACUGCAGAACGCAGGAAGUGACGAAAGCAUGAAGUGUGGAGAGAAUGGCUCGCAAAUGGUGCAGGAAUCUAUUCCCUACCUCUACUGAAAGAUAUUUAUUGGAUUGCCCUAGGGCAGAGUUAAGGCUGUCCACCCUUCAGUCUCUAAGUGGGAUUAAAUUAAUUAUACCGCUGAUCACACAGUAAAAAAAACCCUGUAGCAUCAAAAUCAGCAAUUAUGAUGAAAAAGCUACAAAGAAAUGGUUGUCUGAUACCGUAGCACCAAGAAAAAUAAUAUCACCUGGACAAGAAUGAAUUUCAAUUAUAAAGAAUAAUUUCAUCAAUUUAAAUAAAACAUAAUGUAAGGAGCCAGUCUAAAUUCAUGUUAAAGUUGACUAUUUUUUUGCUGUAAUUAUUGUAAAAAGAAACAUAUGCUUUUGUUAAAAAAAUAGAGGAAAAGGUAGAAAAAAAGAAAGGAAAAUGGAUUUAUUUCUUUGUAUUUCUUGGCAGGUUUAAUGUUUUUAUACGCAUCAUUAGCCCACCCUCCCCCUAGCAAUCAUUGCUAUCUGUAUAAACAGGUACCCUAUUUAGUGGUCUCACGAUAAUUAAUAAAUAACCUUCCUAAUACUUACAAACCUUCAAAUUCCGUUAACAAUACUACAUCUUUAUGCUAUUAAAUUCUCGUAAAACUUGA